UGGGGAAUUUUGGACAAUGGGGGAAACCCUGAUCCAGCCAUCCCGCGUGUGCGAUGAAGGCCUUCGGGUUGUAAAGCACUUUUGGCAGGAAAGAAACGUCAUGGGUUAAUACCCCGUGAAACUGACGGUACCUGCAGAAUAAGCACCGGCUAACUACGUGCCAGCAGCCGCGGUAAUACGUAGGGUGCAAGCGUUAAUCGGAAUUACUGGGCGUAAAGCGUGCGCAGGCGGUUCGGAAAGAAAGAUGUGAAAUCCCAGAGCUCAACUUUGGAACUGCAUUUUUAACGAACGGGCUAGAGUGUGUCAGAGGGAGGUGGAAUUCCGCGUGUAGCAGUGAAAUGCGUAGAUAUGCGGAGGAACACCGAUGGCGAAGGCAGCCUCCUGGGAUAACACUGACGCUCAUGCACGAAAGCGUGGGGAGCAAACAGG
rnacentral:rRNA from 1 species